rnacentral:rRNA from 1 species
GACGAACGCUGGCGGCGUGCUUAACACAUGCAAGUCGAGCGAGAAACUUCGGUUUCUAGCGGCGGACGGGUGAGUAACACGUGGGCAACCUGCCUCACAAUGGGGGAUAGCCUUCCGAAAGGAAGAUUAAUACCGCAUAACACAAAGGAAACGCAUGUUUCUUUUGCCAAAGAAUUUCGUUGUGAGAUGGGCCCGCGGCGCAUUAGCUUGUUGGUGAGGUAACGGCUCACCAAGGCGACGAUGCGUAGCCGACCUGAGAGGGUGAUCGGCCACAUUGGAGCUGAGACACGGUCCAGACUCCUACGGGAGGCAGCAGCGGGGAAUAUUGCACAAUGGAGGAAACUCUGAUGCAGCAACGCCGCGUGAGUGAUGAAGGUCUUCGGAUUGAAAAGCUCUGUCUUCUGGGACGAUAAUGACGGUACCAGAGGAGGAAGCCACGGCUAACUACGUGCCAGCCGCCGCAGUAA